rnacentral:rRNA from 1 species
CCUACGGGAGGCAGCAGUAGGGAAUCUUCCGCAAUGGACGAAAGUCUGACGGAGCAACGCCGCGUGAACGAUGAAGGCCUUCGGGUCGUAAAGUUCUGUUGUUAGGGAAGAACAAGUGCUAGUUGAAUAAGCUGGCACCUUGACGGUACCUAACCAGAAAGCCACGGCUAACUACGUGCCAGCAGCCGCGGUAAUACGUAGGUGGCAAGCGUUGUCCGGAAUUAUUGGGCGUAAAACGCGCGCAGGCGGUUUCUUAAGUCUGAUGUGAAAGCCCCCGGCUCAACCGGGGAGGGUCAUUGGAAACUGGGAAACUUGAGUGCAGAAGAGGAAAGUGGAAUUCCAAGUGUAGCGGUGAAAUGCGUAGAGAUUUGGAGGAACACCAGUGGCGAAGGCGACUUUCUGGUCUGUAACUGACGCUGAGGCGCGAAAGCGUGGGGAGCAAACAGGAUUAGAUACCCUGGUAGUCCAUGCUGUAAACGAUGAGUGCUAGUAGUUAGUAGGUUACCGGUCCCGUUUACGUUGUCGUGUAAGUUAACGUACGUAUUAAGUACACCUCCGCCGUCGGGGAGGUACGGGUCGGCGAAGACGUAGUAAACGUACUAAAUUAGUUAAGUUAGUUACGGCGUGAGGACGUUGCCGACGGACGACGACGAGGGGAGGUUAGG